UGGGGAAUUUUGGACAAUGGGCGAAAGCCUGAUCCAGCAAUGCCGCGUGUGUGAAGAAGGCCUUCGGGUUGUAAAGCACUUUUGUCCGGAAAGAAAUCCUUGGCUCUAAUACAGUCGGGGGAUGACGGUACCGGAAGAAUAAGCACCGGCUAACUACGUGCCAGCAGCCGCGGUAAUACGUAGGGUGCAAGCGUUAAUCGGAAUUACUGGGCGUAAAGCGUGCGCAGGCGGUUUGCUAAGACCGAUGUGAAAUCCCCGGGCUCAACCUGGGAACUGCAUUGGUGACUGGCAGGCUAGAGUAUGGCAGAGGGGGGUAGAAUUCCACGUGUAGCAGUGAAAAUGCGUAGAGAUGUGGAGGAAUACCGAUGGCGAAAGGCAGCCCCCCUGGGCCAAAUACUGACGCUCAUGCACGAAAGCGUGGGGAGCAAACAGGAUUAGAUACCCUGGUAGUCCACGCCCUAAACGAUGUC
rnacentral:rRNA from 1 species